rnacentral:rRNA from 1 species
UACGGGGGGGGCAAGCGUUGUUCGGAAUUACUGGGCGUAAAGGGCUUGUAGGCGGCCAACUAAGUCAAACGUGAAAAUCCCCUCGGCUUAACCGGGGAACUGCGCUUGAUACUGGAUGGCUUGAGAUUGGGAGAGGGAUGCGGAAUUCCAGGUGUAGCGGUGAAAUGCGUAGAUAUCUGGAGGAACACCGGUGGCGAAGGCGGCAUCCUGGACCAACACUGACGCUGAGGAGCGAAAAGCCAGGGGGAGCAAACGGGG